rnacentral:rRNA from 1 species
GAUGAACGCUGGCGGCGUGCCUAAUACAUGCAAGUCGAGCGAACGGACGAGAAGCUUGCUUUUCUGAUGUUAGCGGCGGACGGGUGAGUAACACGUGGAUAACCUACCUAUAAGACUGGGAUAACUUCGGGAAACCGGAGCUAAUACCGGAUAAUAUUUUGAACCGCAUGGUUCAAAAGUGAAAGACGGUCUUGCUGUCACUUAUAGAUGGAUCCGCGCUGCAUUAGCUAGUUGGUAAGGUAACGGCUUACCAAGGCAACGAUGCAUAGCCGACCUGAGAGGGUGAUCGGCCACACUGGAACUGAGACACGGUCCAGACUCCUACGGGAGGCAGCAGUAGGGAAUCUUCCGCAAAGGGCGAAAGCCUGACGGAGCAACGCCGCGUGAGUGAUGAAGGUCUUCGGAUCGUAAAACUCUGUUAUUAGGGAAGAACAUAUGUGUAAGUAACUGUGAACAUCUUGACGGUACCUAAUCAGAAAGCCACGGCUAACUACGUG